AAGUAAUGAAGUAAAAUUUUACAGUUAGUUUCGACCUAAUUUUAGGGACCACUAAUAACCCCUUACUUA
rnacentral:tRNA from 1 species